ACCCUCUCAGGAUCACACCUGGAGAGUUUCCAGUCCUCUACCAGUUUCGACUAUGGGAGGGAGAGUCAAGCAGAGGCCUUCCCAUCCCAUUCCUAGUUUGGCCAGUGGCUAGUCAGUGGAAGGCAUCCUGCUACAUGU